rnacentral:rRNA from 1 species
GACGAACCGAGCGAACGUUGUUCGGAAUCACUGGGCUUAAAGGGCGCGUAGGCGGGUGCUCAAGUCCGGGGUGAAAUCAUCCAGCUCAACUGGAGAACUGCCUCGGAUACUGGGUGCCUCGAGGGUGGCAGGGGUAUGCGGAACUAUCGGUGGAGCGGUGAAAUGCGUUGAUAUCGAUAGGAACUCCGGUGGCGAAGGCGGCAUACUGGUCCACUUCUGACGCUGAGGCGCGAAAGCCAGGGGAGCAAACGGG